GACGAGCGCUGGCGGCGUGCUUAACACAUGCAAGUCGAACGGUAAGGCCCUUCGGGGUACACGAGUGGCGAACGGGUGAGUAACACGUGGGUGAUCUGCCCUGCACUUCGGGAUAAGCCUGGGAAACUGGGUCUAAUACCGGAUAGGACCACUGCCUGCAUGGGUGGUGGUGGAAAGCUUUUGCGGUGUGGGAUGGGCCCGCGGCGUAUCAGCUUGUUGGUCGGGUGAUGGCCUACCAAGGCGACGACGGGUAGCCGGCCUGAGAGGGUGACCGGACAAACGGGGACUGGCAUACGGCCCCGAGGCCUACGGGAGGCAGCAGUGGGGAAUAUUGCACAAUGGGCGCAAGCCUGGUGCAGCGACGCCGCGUGAGGGAUGACGGCCUUCGGGUUGUAAACCUCUUUCAGCACCGACGAAGCGCAAGUGACGGUAGGUGCAGAAGAAGGACCGGCCAACUACGUGCCAGCCGCCGCGGUAA
rnacentral:rRNA from 1 species